rnacentral:rRNA from 1 species
UCAAAAACAUGUCUUUUAGAAUUUAAUUUAAAGUCUAGUCUGCCCGCUGAGUAUUUUAAUGGCCGCAGUAUCUUAACUGUGCAAAGGUAGCAUAAUCAUUAGUCUUUUAAUUGAAGGCUGGUAUGAAUGGCUGGACGAGGUAUUGACUGUAUCUUUAGAAUUGUUAUUGAAUUUUAUUUUUUAGUAAAAAAGCUUAAAUGUUGUUAAAAGACGAGAAGACCCUAUAGAUCUUUAUAAAUAAUAUAUUUUGAUUAUUUAGAUUAUGUAUGUUUAUAUAAUAUUAUUUAUUUUAUUGGGGUGAUAUUAAAAUUUGAUUAACUUUUAAUUUUUAAUUACAUUGAUUUAUGAUAUUGGUGAUCCACUAUUAGUGAUUAUAAGUUUAAGUUACCUUAGGGAUAACAGCGUAAUUUUUUUGGAGAGUUCUUAUCGAUAAUAAAUAUUGCGACCUCGAUGUUGGAUUAGGAGAUAAUUUUGGGUGUAGUAAUUCAUUAAUUAAGUCUGUUCGACUUUUAAUUUCCUACAUGAUCU